ACAAUCUCAGGUCUAAGGACAAAGCGUAUAUGUUGUUUAAAGAGAGAACUACUUCUCGUGUUGGGUCAGUCCUAGCACAUGUCUCCACAUGUGCCCACAUUAUUAGUUCAACAUCUCCAUGUCCAUGACUUGUGAAACAUAGUCAUCGACUAAUACAUGUGCUACUCUAAUAUUCAUGUUUGUCCUCACAUGAACUCCGACUAGGGACAACUUUAGAAUAACCAUAUAAGUAAAGAAUUUCACACACAAUUCACAUAAUUGCAAAACAAUUCAAGUAGCCUUUAAUGGAUAUUCAAGGAACACAAUAUAAAUCAUGGAUACAAAUCGAAUAUCAUCAUCUCUAUGAUUGCCUCUAGGGCAUACCUCCAACAGUCUCC
rnacentral:lncRNA from 1 species